AUACGUAGGGGGCGAGCGUUGUCCGGAAUGAUUGGGCGUAAAGGGCGCGUAGGCGGCGCGGUAAGUCUGGAGUGAAAGUCCUGCUUUCAAGGUGGGAAUUGCUUUGGAUACUGCCGCGCUUGAGUGCAGGAGAGGUUAUCGGAAUUCCCGGUGUAGCGGUGAAAUGCGUAGAGAUCGGGAGGAACACCAGUGGCGAAGGCGGGUAACUGGACUGCAACUGACGCUGAGGCGCGAAAGUGUGGGGAGCAAACAGGAUUAGAUAUCCUGGUAGUCCACACUGUAAACGAUGAAUGCUAGGUGUAAGAGGUAUCGACCCCUUUUGUGCAGGAGUCAACACAAUAAGCAUUCCGCCUGGGGAGUACGGCCGCAAGGUUGAAACUCAAAGGAAUUGACGGGG
rnacentral:rRNA from 1 species